GAUGAACGCUGGCGGCGUGCUUAACACAUGCAAGUCGAACGGAAAGGCCCAAGCUUGCUUGGGUACUCGAGUGGCGAACGGGUGAGUAACACGUGGGUGAUCUGCCCUGCACUUCGGGAUAAGCCUGGGAAACUGGGUCUAAUACCGGAUAGGACCACUUCUUGGAUGUUGUGGUGGAAAGUUUUUUCGGUGUGGGAUGAGCUCGCGGCCUAUCAGCUUGUUGGUGGGGUAAUGGCCUACCAAGGCGUCGACGGGUAGCCGGCCUGAGAGGGUGUACGGCCACAUUGGGACUGAGAUACGGCCCAGACUCCUACGGGAGGCAGCAGUGGGGAAUAUUGCACAAUGGGCGCAAGCCUGAUGCAGCGACGCCGCGUGGGGGAUGACGGCCUUCGGGUUGUAAACUCCUUUCGCUAGGGGCGAAGCGUUUUGUGACGGUACCUGGAGAAGAAGCACCGGCUAACUACGUG
rnacentral:rRNA from 1 species